UUACUUAAAACAAAGCCUUGUUAAAUGGGAAUCAGCAAACAAAUCCAAAAUUAGCUUUCCAAAUGUUAAUUAACAAAUACUAGUAAUGCCAUGCUGUAUGUAUGUAUGUAUGUACCCGAUCAUCUCAAACACAUCCAUUCAGCUUUCAGCUGUGUCAUAUACUACUAUUCUUUCAACACCUUUGUCUAUAUUGGAAAGAGCCCCAUCAAUAAAUAGCUGACCAAAGACAAGGAUUCUGGGAACGAUGAAUAAACAUUGCUUCACCUCUGGCCAUAUUUCACAUCUAUUGCUCUCAUCCUUGCUUCAUUCGACUUUCGUUACGUGUGUGUACGUGUGUGUGUGUCUAACAGCUGAGGCAUUACUACCUAUACAUUUCACAUUUCACCGACCUCACCUCUUUUUCUUUCCUUGGUAGGAGGGAUAUCUCAGAGAUUUCAGCUCUGGCCGCUGCUAGCUUGUAGCAUUUCCACAAUUAAGGUUUUCACAUCCCUCAAGACAACAAGGAACCAAUGCAUCAUUUAGUUGUGAAGUUCAACAUUGGACUGGUUUUAACAGAAUGGAAACCAUUGAAAAAGAGUGAAAAAAAAUACUCACUUUCUAUCUUCUGCACGCCUAGGGAAAGGAAUUCUGAGCUUGUAAGUCUUACCCUGAUAAAUAGCCUAUGCAUAAACAUUCAAAAGUCAAAAUCAUAAAACUGGAGGGGAGUGUCAGGAAGUUUGUAUCGAGUGUUAGAAUACUCUUUUCAUCUAGACGUAGUAGGGACAAGUAGGUCAGCAAUGUGGUUUGGAGUUGCUCAUACCUUGACAUUGAAUCCAAAACUAUCCACAUCUAGCAUAUAAGCGGAAUCCACCUGAACAGAGGUUUAUGGGUUUCAGAAACAAAGAAUAUGAACAUAAGUACCUCGUACACAUGUUUAUUAACCUAAUUCAGUAAGGAAAAGAUAAUCAUUGACGAACAAGGCAGUUGUCAUGUAUCUCUGCUAAAAUUAGCAGGAAAACUGUUCUUCACCAUGAUGGGUCAACACUUAAGACGUCUGCAUGAAUUAUGUGCGAAUACUUGGUGAGAGUGAGACACAUGUACAUGCAGUGCCGUGUAACUUUCAUUUUAUUCCCUAAGUGCAAAGAUACGAGCUGCCUGGGGAAACUGGUAACUGAAUAAUACUAGGAAAAAAAAUUCUCUGGUUGAUUUUCAACAUACAGAAAUGAGAAGCAGUGAACAGAGAGAAGUACCGGAAUUGAAGUUGAGUGUUUUACAAUCAGUUUUGUAUCUUCACCAUGAUCUCUGUUCAUGUGGGACUGAAAUAGUACAUAGAUUUGAUUUGGAGGAUGCGACAAAAAGGGUAUAGAUAGUCUGGAAGAAAAAAAUAAAAUGUAUGUACUUCAAGUGCAAAACAUACUGUAAUAGGCUUUGCAAAUUGGGAUAUAGGAUCCACUUUUGCAGAUUGAAACUCGUCUUUGGUAAACUCUGAAGUUGUUUGAGCACAAGAGGCAAACACAAAAGUGUUAACUUGUUAGGAAAUCCAGUAUUAACAACGUGCCAAUAAAAAUUGAAAUGGUUCAUAAGAAGGACAAGCUGGAUGGCACACAGACCUCCAGACUGAAGCAAUGCAGUUGCAACUCCCGACACAUAUCGCACUACCUUUGGCUCAAUCCUUAAAAAUUGGAAGUCCCCAAAGUCAACCUUCAAACAAGAAGUGCCGAGUCAGUGACCAACUUCAUAGUGACCAACAACAAAGGCCACAAGGGCAAAGAUGUUACCCAGAAUGCAUUAGGAUGUUUGGCCAAAUAUGCAGUUCUUGUGGUAGCUGUAUCUUGCUUAGAGACCUGAAAAUAGCUUCAAUUACUUAACCUCCGAACAGUAUUUAGCAAUGAAAACUGUUACUGAAGGAUGUCAACAUAAGAAGACCACAGGAGUAAAAGAAGUUACAGGAAUAGCAUCCCCAUGCACAGUGAUAACCAGAUCAUUCCUGUCCUCGGGAUCUCUAGCAACAAGCAAGGAGCACUUUGGAUUAGCUGACAGGUCCUGUACAUAGAAGAAGCUAGUGAUCAGAAAACCAACGCUCAGAAGAUAACAGCAAUCUAUUCACUCCAUGCGGCAGUGCACCCAACAAGACUUGCCGAUCAAAAAGAUCAUAAUCCCGUAAUAUAAUCAAACAAUUGAAGGAUUCAUUUAUUGGUUAGCAAUACCGACCUUAGAAUGAACUGACAAGGAACUGACAGCCAAGAUUAUAGACCCAUCUACAUCAGAUGCAAAAUCAAGCAUCGAUCCAGACGGAUAACCAUCGUAUUUCUGCGAACAUUCAAAGGAUAACGAUCACAUAUUCAAGUCAGAUACCAUUUCGUUUGUUUCAAGUCAUCCAAAAUCAACAUCGAGUUAGAGCAGAAUGGAAACCUGAGAGAAGGUUGAGAGCAUGCCACGCACACUAUGGCUAAGGACUGUCCUGAUUUCCUCAACAGGGGGAAGCCGAGCAGCAUUUUCCUAAACUUACACGAAACAAAAUCCAGGAUUCAAUACGCCAAAACAACUCCCACUUGAAAUUGAUCAUCAAUCGCACAUAAACAUAUAUUAAUUAGAAGGAAACACAGAAACCCUACCUGGUGAGUUUUUAUCAACAUUAAAAGAUUCUCCUCGCCGCCAAUUCCCCCAGCAGAUGCAGCCUGGUGAUCAUGAGAAAAAAACAACAAUCAAAUUCCUAGACUUGGCAAGUAUUUCGAAGAAGAAAAGUGACGGAGGGGGAAGAGAUAUGGAUUGUGGUGCUGACCUUAGGAGGAGAGGAGGACUGAGGUGGAGCUGCAGACAUAGCGAGAGAUCGACGAGUAGAAGAAGGAGAGAAGGAGAAGGAAGAAGAGAGAACAGAGGGGAAUGAUGGAAAGGAGAUGUAUGGUUGGAGAAACUGAGAGGUGAAAUGAAGCCUGGUUGACGCUACUGCAGCUGCCCUCAUUGUGCAACAACUAGCCGAUGCCAUCAUCUACUGGCAGGAUCCCUCAUCAAAAUAAAAUCAUCCAGAUUCCCUGUUAAUACCAUUCUCCACCCAGAUUCCCUGUUACUCACACAAAGCCAAAGCAAACCAAAGAACAAAAGUUGAACUUCCAUUACUUAAAACAAAGCCUUGUUAAAUGGGAAUCAGCAAACAAAUCCAAAAUUAGCUUUCCAAAUGUUAAUUAACAAAUACUAGUAAUGCCAUGCUGUAUGUAUGUAUGUAUGUACCCGAUCAUCUCAAACACAUCCAUUCAGCUUUCAGCUGUGUCAUAUACUACUAUUCUUUCAACACCUUUGUCUAUAUUGGAAAGAGCCCCAUCAAUAAAUAGCUGACCAAAGACAAGGAUUCUGGGAACGAUGAAUAAACAUUGCUUCACCUCUGGCCAUAUUUCACAUCUAUUGCUCUCAUCCUUGCUUCAUUCGACUUUCGUUACGUGUGUGUACGUGUGUGUGUGUCUAACAGCUGAGGCAUUACUACCUAUACAUUUCACAUUUCACCGACCUCACCUCUUUUUCUUUCCUUGGUAGGAGGGAUAUCUCAGAGAUUUCAGCUCUGGCCGCUGCUAGCUUGUAGCAUUUCCACAAUUAAGGUUUUCACAUCCCUCAAGACAACAAGGAACCAAUGCAUCAUUUAGUUGUGAAGUUCAACAUUGGACUGGUUUUAACAGAAUGGAAACCAUUGAAAAAGAGUGAAAAAAAAUACUCACUUUCUAUCUUCUGCACGCCUAGGGAAAGGAAUUCUGAGCUUGUAAGUCUUACCCUGAUAAAUAGCCUAUGCAUAAACAUUCAAAAGUCAAAAUCAUAAAACUGGAGGGGAGUGUCAGGAAGUUUGUAUCGAGUGUUAGAAUACUCUUUUCAUCUAGACGUAGUAGGGACAAGUAGGUCAGCAAUGUGGUUUGGAGUUGCUC
rnacentral:lncRNA from 1 species